rnacentral:rRNA from 1 species
UACGGAGGGUGCGAGCGUUGUCCGGAAUCACUGGGCGUAAAGGGCGCGUAGGUGGCCUGUGGAAGUCUGCGGUGAAAGCCCGGCGCUCAACGCCGGGUCGGCCGUGGAUACUCUCGGGCUUGAGCUUAUUAGAGGCAGAUGGAAUUCCGGGUGUAGCGGUGGAAUGCGUAGAGAUCGGGAGGAACACCGAUGGCGAAGGCAGAUCUCUGGGCCGUAACUGACGCUGAGGAGGCGAAAAGCA